rnacentral:rRNA from 1 species
GCAAGUCGAGGGGUAACAGGGAUUGCUUGCCAUCCGCUGACGACCGGCGCACGGGUGCGUAACGCGUAUACACUCUCCCCUUACUGCGAGAUAGCCCAGAGAAAUUUGGAUUAAUAUCGCAUGUUAUUAUAUUACGGCAUCGUAUUUAUAAUUAAAGGUUACGGUAAGAGAUGAGUAUGCGUCCUAUUAGAUAGUUGGUAAGGUAACGGCUUACCAAGGCAGCGAUAGGUAGGGGCCCUGAGAGGGGGAUC